rnacentral:rRNA from 1 species
CAGUCGCCACGGUAAUACGUAGGUGGCAAGCGUUGUCCGGAAUUAUUGGGCGUAAAGGGCUCGCAGGCGGUUUCUUAAGUCUGAUGUGAAAGCCCCCGGCUCAACCGGGGAGGGUCAUUGGAAACUGGGAAACUUGAGUGCAGAAGAGGAGAGUGGAAUUCCACGUGUAGCGGUGAAAUGCGUAGAGAUGUGGAGGAACACCAGUGGCGAAGGCGACUCUCUGGUCUGUAACUGACGCUGAGGAGCGAAAGCGUGGGGAGCGAACAGGAUUAGAUACCCCGGUAGUCCCUGUCUCUUAUAA